rnacentral:rRNA from 1 species
UUGGAGGGCAAGUCUGGUGCCAGCAGCCGCGGUAAUUCCAGCUCCAAUAGCGUAUAUUAAAGUUGUUGCAGUUAAAAAGCUCGUAGUUGAAUUUCGGGAUCAAUUUAUUGGUCGUGCCAACGGUACGCACUGGUACGAUUGGUUUCUCCCUUCUGACGAAGCAUGAUGUCAUUAAUUUGAUGUCGUGGGGAAUCAGGACUGUUACUUUGAAAAAAUUAGAGUGUUUAAAGCAGGCUUUGGCUUGAAUACAUUAGCAUGGAAUAAUGAAAUAGGACGUUUGAUCUUAUUUCGUUGGUUUCUAAGAUCGACGUAAUGAUUAAUAGGGAUAGUUGGGGGCAUUAGUAUUCAAUUGUCAGAGGUGAAAUUCUUGGAUUUAUUGAAGACUAACUACUGCGAAAGCAUUUGCCAAGGAUGUUUUCAUUAAUCAAGAACGAAAGUUAGGGGAUCGAAGACGAUCAGAUACCGUCGUAGUCUUAACCAUAAACUAUGCCGGCUAGGGAUCGGAUGAUGUUAAUUUUUUAAUGACUCAUUCGGCGCCUUACGGGAAAC